UGAAAUAACUCGAGAUUAGAUUGUUGAUUUAAAUGUGUUUGCCCAACACAACAAAAGAUAGUGUUGUAUGUAUUCUUCUUGGUUACAUCAUGUAAAUUCAACUUUCCGACCUGGAGAAGCUAGCAAACUAACCUCAACGUGUUUUGGUCUCAAUAAAGUUAAAUGCAAAGAGAUGAAACUUGCAACUUCGUUUGAACUGUAAUAACAAAAUCUUAUAUCUAUCAUUCUAAUAGAUGUAAAACAAGAAAACAAAACCGAGAAAAGUCAAAUCCAAACAAGUAUAAAGCUCUUCGCGAUAACUCAAAACAGGCUUGUUCAAGAUUCCGAAAAGAAAUGUGAAGUCUCCCUGAGGCUUAUUUAUUCAUAUAGAGUGAGAAGAAAGUAUCCCUUAGA